rnacentral:lncRNA from 1 species
UGCCAGUGGAUCACAUUGUGCUGCUGGAGCAGGAGCAGAGGGGAAAAGAGAGACGCUUCCUGUUUCUCCUUCUUUAAAUAUGAGUCUCCUUGCUAUGUCACUUCCUGCCUGGAUCACCACUUCUCAACUACAUUUCCCAAAAUCCUCUUUGACUCCUAGUCCUGCCUAACUUGCUGCCAUUGACCAAACAGUAUUUUAUUCAACAAUCAAUAAGAUAAACAUACACAGAAGUACAUUCCCCAUUAGACUCCUGUGUCUAACCUGUGGUAGAAAGAAAGCAGCUGACACAAGCUUGCUGUUAUGCCCCAAAUUCAGCAACUGCAGGGAUUAAAUGCUAUUCUUGAUGGACCCUAUAAUUCAGAUCCCUUAAAUAUCCAUGUGGUAAAUGCCUGGACUCCAGAGUUGUUCUACUGGAUAUGUAUAGAACCAUUAUUAGGGCCUAUUAAGGUAUUUUCAUGUCACUGGGGGCACACCUUAGCAGGAGAUGGUGAGACUCCAGCCCUUUCCUCUGCCUCUCUUUGGCUUCUUGGCCAUGAAUAGAGUUGUUUUUGCUUGUCUCCUGUGAUUGGACCAUGGUGUGACACAAGUCCAAAAGCAAAAGAGUCCAACUGAUAUGGCCUGAUAGCUCUAAAACUGUGAGCCAAAAUAAAACUUCAUUCUUUGUAAGUUGAUUAUCUAUAUAUUUGUUUUAGUGACAGAAAGCUGACUAACACAGGUGAGGUGAGUCAGAAGCUUAAAGAAUAAGGGAUUUAGAAUAAUCUCAGAGAAGAAUCAAAGUCCAUGUGUCCAGUAGAGCCGGAUGACAACUGGGAUAUGGCAAGACCAGGUACACAAAGCUGAGCCCACCACUCAGGUUCCAUGAACUGAGUAAGUGUAGGAACUAUGAGAUCACCCUAUUAAAUUGGAAUGUUUCAGGAACUGUCAGUCAACAUAAUUUUCCAUGGUGAAUUAGCUCAAACUCAUUUGGUUUUGCUUGCAUGUUUAGGAAUUACCUGAUGUAGGCUAGAUUUGGCCAGCUAGUUCUGCUUCAAGCUGUUGGUUUACCUGUGCAUGGCUCCUCAUUAAGAGCGGAGCUCAGACGUGCUCCCUAUGUAUGUAUUCCAUGGCUCAAGCUGACUGGGCAGUAGCUAGCUAUGGGGACAUCUUCUGACAGUGUGUCAGGGGUCCAGGAGGGCCAGCCCAACAGCAUCAGUGUGCUUUAAGUUGUUUUUUUUUUUUGAUGUAUCUUCUGAUGCCUUAUGACCAAAAAAAAAAAAAAAAAAAAAAUCAGGAGGCUGAGUCCACAGAAAGCAAGAAGUACUUUCUGUCCCUAACAAGAGGAACUGCAUGUCACGUGGCAAGGUGUGUGGAUGCAGAUAGGAGUGAAGAACUGGUACAGUCAUUCAGUAUACUAUACUAUCUGAGUGUAAUUCUCAUCCAUUUUAUGUGUCAGAUAGGUGAAUGUCUUAGGGUUUCUAUUGCUGUGAAGAGACACCAUGACGAUGGCAACUUUUAUAAAUGAAGAGCAUUUAAUUUGGGUGGCUUACAUUUUCAGAGGUUUAGUCCAUUAUCAUGGUACAACAUGUUGGCAUGCAGGCAGACAUGGUGCUGGAUAAGUAGCUGAGAGUCCUUACAUCUCGACUUACA